AGGGUUUGAUCCUGGCUCAGAACGAACGCUGGCGGCGUGGAUCAGGCAUGCAAGUCGAGCGAGAAAGUUCCCUUCGGGGGGUGAGUAAAGCGGCAAAAGGGGUAGUAAUGCAUAAAUAACGUACCCGGCAGUCUGGGAUAACCUCGGGAAACUGGGGGUAAUACCAGAUACGUUGGCCGUCUCAAAGAGGCGGUCAGGAAAGGAGGGGACCUUCGGGCCUUUCACUGGCGGAGCGGUUUAUGUCGUAUUAGCUAGUUGGUAGGGUAAUGGCCUACCAAGGCGAAGAUGCGUAGGGGGCCUUAGCGGGUGUUCCUCACCACCGGAACUGAGACACUGUCCGGACACCUACGGGUGGCUGCAGUCGAGAAUCUUCCGCAAUGGACGAAAGUCUGACGGAGCGACGCCGCGUGAAGGAUGAAGGCUUUCGGGUUGUAAACUUCUGUCAAGUGUUAUGAAUAAUCGACGUUUAAUAUGCGUCGUGAUGACAAAGGCACUGGAGGAAGCCACGGCCAAAUAUGUGCCAGCAGCCGCGGUAAUACAUAUGUGGCGAGCGUUGUUCGGAAUUACUGGGCAUAAAGAGUUCGUAGGCGGCUUUGCAAGUUGGGUGUGAAAUCCCUCAGCUUACCUGAGGAACUGCAUCCAAAACUGCAUGGCUGGGGUCCUUGAGGGGAAAGCGGAAUUCCAGGUGUAGCGGUGAAAUGCGUAGAUAUCUGGGAGAAGGCCAAUGGCGAAGGCAGCUUUCUGGCGAGUGACCGACGCUGAGGAACGAAAGUCAGGGGAUCGAACGGGAUUAGAUACCCCGGUAGUCCUGACCGUAAACGGUGAGCACUUGAUGAUGUGGGCGCUGAUCCCUCAUUGUCGUAGCAAAUGCGUUAAGUGCUCCGCCUGGGUAGUACGAUCACAAGGUUGAAACUCAAAGGAAUUGACGGGGGCUCACACAAGCGGUGGAGCAUGUUGCUUAAUUCGAAGCAACGCGAAGAACCUUACCUGGGCUUGAACUGCAGGGAUUAGCAUCCUGAAAGGGUUGUAACGCCGCAAGGUGGAACCUGUAGAGGUGUUGCAUGGCUGUCGUCAGCUCGUGCCGUGAGGUGUCAGGUUAAGUCCUUUAACGAGCGGAACCCUUGCCCUUAUUUACCAGCGGGUCAUGCCGGGGACUAUAGGGGGACUGCCGGUGUCAAACCGGAGGAAGGUGGGGACGACGUCAAGUCAUCAUGGCCCUUAUGUCCAGGGCUGCAAACGUGCUACAAUGGCGAUCACAAAGUGUUGCGAAGUCGCGAGAUGGAGCCAAUCAUCAAAGAUCGUCUCAGUUCGGAUUGCAGGCUGAAACCCGCCUGCAUGAAGUCGGAAUCGCUAGUAAUCGCGGGUCAGCCAUACCGCGGUGAAUACGUUCCUGAGCCUUGUACACACCGCCCGUCAAGCCACGAGAGCUGGGGGCGCCCGAAGCCAUGUUGUCAACCCGCAAGGGAGGCAGGUGUCCACGGUGAAACCAGUAAUUGGGACUAAGUCGAAACAAGGUA
rnacentral:rRNA from 1 species